AGGUAUUCUAUAAAAAAGCUGCUUAUAAUAAUAUGUGCGUGUGUAUUCGAUUUUAAGAGCACCCCUGAAGUAUACUCAUGGGAUAGCACCCUGUUUGAAGGCCAAGGAAGAGACCUGGAGCCAGCAAACAAAACAUAUGGUCUAUUGAAAGGACUUACAGAGAAUUACAAGUGGAAUAAAAGGCAGGCUGUUUUCAGUCCCUGAUGAGUAAAUGUAGCAUUGAGAGAUGUGGUUGGCUGAGGAUAGAAUAUCUGGUACAUCAGUGUGAGCUGGUUGACAUGAGAAGGACUUGCUGUUUGAAUGAAAAACCUCAAAGCUGAAGCUGAGUUUAUCAACUGCCCAGAAAGAAGGAGGAGGAUACUUACAGAAAUCUAAUGAUUUUGAGACAUGCACUACCUCAAAAAUUUUAUUUUACGCACUAUUUGGUUGAUGUGUUGUGUGAAGAUCUUUCAUAGCAUCUAAUCAGGUAUAAUUCCUGAAUGACACUGAGUUUUAUAAUUUUUCUCCCACCCUAUUCUCACUAUAUAUGAAAUCCUUGAUUCUCCAUACUCCACUUGUUUUUAAUAUCAAUACACAUUUUUCUCCUAAUGUAUCACUCUAAUUGGCAAUAGCCACAUGACCUAGACUAGAAUAUUACUUAAAAUAUUUUGACUGUUAUAAUUAAAAGGUAAUUAUUUUUAUAAUUUGUGACUGCAAGUCAAUUUCACAGAGCAUGUACCAUGCCUUGAGAUUGGGGAAUAAUACAUUUUUGAAAAUUUAAGAAAAACAUCUAAUUUUGUUAUUAAAUAAAGAAUUACAUUCAAC
rnacentral:lncRNA from 1 species